rnacentral:tRNA from 5 species
GGACGGUUAGCUCAGCGGUAGAGCGCUUCGUUUACAUCGAAGAUGUCGCAGGUUCAAAUCCUGCACCGUCCA